rnacentral:rRNA from 1 species
UACGAGGGGUGCAAACGUUAUUCGGAAUCAUUGGGCGUAAAGGGUACGUAGACGGCAAAAUAAGUCAGUUAUUAAAUCUUCUAGCCUAACUAGAAGCCUGUGGCUGAAACUGAUUUGCUUGAGGAUGGAAGAGAGAAGCGGAAUUCUCGGAGUAGCGGUAAAAUGCGUAGAUCUCGAGAGGAACACCGAUGGCGAAGGCAGCUUCUUGGUCCAUAUCUGACGUUGAGGUACGAAAGCGUGGGGAGCAAACAGG